UACGUAGGGUGCGAGCGUUAAUCGGAAUUACUGGGCGUAAAGGGCGCGUAGGCGGUCAGCACAAGUCAGUUGUGAAAUCUCCGGGCUUAACUCGGAAAGGUCAACUGAUACUGUGCGACUAGAGUGCAGAAGGGGCAACUGGAAUUCUCGGUGUAGCGGUGAAAUGCGUAGAUAUCCGGAGGAACACCGAUGGCGAAGGCAGCUGCCUGGCCUGACACUGACGCUGAGGUGCGAAAGCGUGGGGAGCGAACGGG
rnacentral:rRNA from 1 species